CUGGCUCCCAAGCCCGGGCUCUUUCCACUGGGCCACACUGCUUCUAGUGCCAGGAAGGUUUCAGGUGGGGGUGACGAAUUGGAGAAAGAAGAAGGACAACGGGGAAACAGCUGAAUACGAUCAUAUUAACUUGAUUUUGGACUCACCUGCGACACAUCCCGCCCCAAGUCGGAUUUUUCGUGAUUCCACUUCUCUAGCGGGCUGUUGGGUUGUUGUAGUACAGGGGAAUUCUGCGGUUGGUCGUGCAAAAACAUCACUGCACAUGACUUUUCUCGGCUUUCUAAUAAUUUCGGGGCCACGGGGCGGCGAUAAGACACCACGAAGAAAGAUAAAAAAUUUGGUCUCCACACCAACGCCGGAGCUAGUGAGUUUGCUGUCGAGAGUAAUCCGUCCUUCAGACACUGAGCACCACUACUGAGGAGAAUCAUGAAGACAAUGAAGGUCUCAAACCAGUUAUGUUCAACUAUUUUGAAGCAUGUUUUCCUCAAAUUCCACCAGUGCUUUCCUUUUCCUGAUUCCACACUGACUUGACAGCAUUUGAAUCUUCGUACACAGCCUAAAAGUCAAAUGUUCAAAGGUCAGAUCCGAUUCACUACUGAAGUCUUCUGUGUUUAAAUUUUCAAAGUCAGAUUCACCAACAGCAAUUGGAACCGUCACAGUGAGACUGGG